GCCCCUCGAUGGCGUGCGCGGCAUUACCAAUAAUGUUUCUCGAUCUAUGCUCGUUCGAUACGGGUAUUGCGACUGUGUUGACCGCCGUAGACCGACCCUGGUGAUCCAAAACACUCGGCAGUCGGAAACGAUACGUUGACCUUGCGUACCCACCUGGGGAACCAGGAUCGAAUAACUGCGGUACGACGGCGUUGUGGAGGGGUU
rnacentral:other from 1 species